ensembl:lncRNA
CCUUGAGUGCCUUCUAGUUGGAAUGUGGCAAUAAUUCACAACAAAGGGAAGACAGAGUUUACCUUUAACAUAACAUGCAGCCAAAGGAACUAUGGAGGGAAGAAGGUCCCAGGAAGGCAAAAAUACCUAAUGGCCAGGAAAAUCAUCUGUCCCUAUUUCUCUCAUCAUCCUACUCUUAUUAUUCUGGGUAGAAAAUGUGCUUCAAAACUCGUUUAAGCCGCUAUUAUAAGAUGGAUAUAGUGCUAUGCAGAUUGAAAUCUAAAGAAGAGGAAGAGAGGCUCUUUGAACUCAGGGGGGAAAUCAAGAAACAUGGAAGAAAAAGAGUAAAGAGAUGGAAUAAUCAGAGAGAAGUACUGUUUCCUAAAAAAACUGAUGAUGUGGGAUUUUCCUAACACAUGAUCCCAGCGUGCUGAACUCUGCGUGUCUGCAGGAAAGUGACACAGCACUGUGGCACCAGAUCCAGUUCUGAAGGCAGGAGCCUGAAGCUAAAAAAAAAAAAAUUUAAAUAUUCAGUUGAUAAGACAUAAAGCAGUAAAGGUAUGACUUUUCCUCUUGAUACAUUUGUAUCAUGUCAGAGUUAAUCUUGAUUUUGCCAAGACUCCUAAUAUAUAAGCUCAAAAGAGAAACAGUAACAUGUAAAAUGUAAAUCAUCAGUGAGUAUUCAGAUAAAAUUUCAACCACUUGGGCAAACAAGAAAAUAGAAAGAAAUGAUCAGAACACUUCUAUAAGCGUUCUGUCAACUCCAGGGUGGAGUGCUAGCUAUAGCUUAUCUCUAGGGGAUGGAAUUAUAAGUUAUUUUAUCUUUGUUUUGCUUACCUCUCUAUUUUCUUCUGUU